rnacentral:rRNA from 1 species
AUUGAACGCUGGCGGCAGGCUUAACACAUGCAAGUCGAGCGGGGGCUUCGGUCCUAGCGGCGAACGGGUGAGGAAUGCUUGGGAAUCUGCCCAGUAGCGGGGGAUAACGUUUCGAAAGGAACGCUAAUACCGCAUACGCCCUACGGGGGAAAGGGGGGGAUCUUCGGACCUCUCACUAUUGGAUGAGCCCAAGUCGGAUUAGCUAGUUGGUGGGGUAAAGGCCUACCAAGGCGACGAUCCGUAGCUGGUCUGAGAGGAUGAGCAGCCACACUGGAACCGAGACGCAGUCCAGACUGCUACGGGAGGCAGCAGUGGGGAAUAUUAGACAAUGGGCGCAAGCCUGAUCCAGCCAUGCCGCGUGUCUGAAGAAGACCUUCGGGUUGUAAAGGACUUUUGUCCGGGAGCAAAUACCCAGUGCUAAUAGCGCUGGGGGCUGAGAGUACCGGAAGAAUAAGCACCGGCUAACUACGUGCCAGCCGCCGCAGUAAGAC